UACCAGCACCCCGAGUGGUCGGGACGUUUAUUGGGCCUAAAGCAUCCGUAGCCGGUUCUACAAGUCCUCCGUUAAAUCCACCUGCUUAACAGAUGGGCUGCGGAGGAUACUAUAAGACUAGGAGGCAGGAGAGGCAAGCGGUACUCAGUGGGUAGGGGUAAAAUCCGUUGAUCCAUUGAAGACCACCAGUGGCGAAGGCGGCUUGCCAGAAUGCGCUCGACGGUGAGGGAUGAAAGCUGGGGGAGCAAACCGG
rnacentral:rRNA from 1 species